UGGGGAAUAUUGCACAAUGGGCGAAAGCCUGAUGCAGCAACGCCGCGUGAGGGACGACGGCCUUCGGGUUGUAAACCUCUUUUAGCAAGGAAGAAGCGAAAGUGACGGUACUUGCAGAAAAAGCGCCGGCUAACUACGUGCCAGCAGCCGCGGUAAUACGUAGGGCGCAAGCGUUAUCCGGAAUUAUUGGGCGUAAAGAGCUCGUAGGCGGUUUGUCGCGUCUGCUGUGAAAACCCGAGGCUCAACCUCGGGCCUGCAGUGGGUACGGGCAGACUAGAGUGCGGUAGGGGAGAUUGGAACUCCUGGUGUAGCGGUGGAAUGCGCAGAUAUCAGGAAGAACACCGAUGGCGAAGGCAGAUCUCUGGGCCGUAACUGACGCUGAGGAGCGAAAGGGUGGGGAGCAAACAGGCUUAGGUACCCUGGUAGUCCACCCCGUAAACGUUGGGAACUAGUUGUGGGGGUCCAUUCCACGGAUUCCGUGACGCAGCUAACGCAUUAAGUUCCCCCGCCUGGGGGAGUACGGCCGCAAAGGCUAAAAACUCAAAUGGAAUUGACGGGGUCAUAGCUGUUUCCU
rnacentral:rRNA from 1 species